GCGAAUUGAAUGAUGACCGUUUUCGCGGUCGGCUGUCCCCCUGCCAUGAUGCAUGGAUGCAAUUGCAACCUGUGCUGUGUGUCUGAUCAUUUGC
rnacentral:snoRNA from 1 species